rnacentral:rRNA from 1 species
UGAACGCUGGCGGCAUGCCUUACACAUGCAAGUCGAACGGCAGCGCGGGCUUCGGCCUGGCGGCGAGUGGCGAACGGGUGAGUAAUACAUCGGAACGUGCCCUGUUGUGGGGGAUAACUAGUCGAAAGAUUAGCUAAUACCGCAUACGACCUGAGGGUGAAAGCGGGGGACCGUAAGGCCUCGCGCAAUAGGAGCGGCCGAUGUCUGAUUAGCUAGUUGGUGGGGUAAAGGCCUACCAAGGCGACGAUCAGUAGCUGGUCUGAGAGGACGAUCAGCCACACUGGGACUGAGACACGGCCCAGACUCCUACGGGAGGCAGCAGUGGGGAAUUUUGGACAAUGGGGGCAACCCUGAUCCAGCAAUGCCGCGUGUGUGAAGAAGGCCUUCGGGUUGUAAAGCACUUUUGUCCGGAAAGAAAUCGCGCUGGCCAAUACCUGGCGUGGAUGACGGUACCGGAAGAAUAAGCACCGGCUAACUACGUGCCAGCAGCCGCGGUAAUACGUAGGGUGCGAGCGUUAAUCGGAAUUACUGGGCGUAAAGCGUGCGCAGGCGGUUUUGUAAGACAGGCGUGAAAUCCCCGGGCUUAACCUGGGAAUGGCGCUUGUGACUGCAAGGCUAGAGUGCGUCAGAGGGGGGUAGAAUUCCACGUGUAGCAGUGAAAUGCGUAGAGAUGUGGAGGAAUACCGAUGGCGAAGGCAGCCCCCUGGGACGAGACUGACGCUCAUGCACGAAAGCGUGGGGAGCAAACAGGAUUAGAUACCCUGGUAGUCCACGCCCUAAACGAUGUCAACUAGUUGUUGGGGAUUCAUUUCCUCAGUAACGUAGCUAACGCGUGAAGUUGACCGCCUGGGGAGUACGGUCGCAAGAUUAAAACUCAAAGGAAAUGACGGGGACCCGCACAAGCGGUGGAUGAUGUGAAUUAAUUCCAUGCAACGCGAAAAAACCUUCCCUACCCUUGGCAUGCCACUAACGAAGCAGAGAUGCAUCAGGUGCCCGAAAGGGAAAGUGGACACAGGUAUUGCAUGGCUGUCGUCAGCUUGUGUCGUGAGAUGGUGGUUUAAGUCCCGCAACGAGCGCAACCCUUGUCUGUAGGUGCUACGCAAGGGCACUCUAGAGAGACUACCGGUGACAAACCGGAGGAAGGUGGGGAUGGGGUCAAGUCCUUAUGGCCUUUAUGGGUAGGGUUUCACACGUCAUACAAUGGUGCGUACAGAGGGUUGCCAACCCGCGAGGGGGAGCUAAUCCCAGAAAACGCAUGGUAGUCCGGAUCGUAGUCUGCAACUCGACUACGUGAAGCUGGAAUCGCUAGUAAUCGCGGAUCAGCAUGUCGCGGUGAAUACGUUCCGGGGUCUUGUACACUCCGCCCGUCACUCCAUGGGAGUGGGUUUUGCCAGAAGUAGUUAGCCUAACCGCAAGGAGGGCG